rnacentral:sRNA from 1 species
UAUAUGAAUAUGCUUAGUUUCCGACAACGUCGGAGAGCGGGGGAACCACCUUUUGGGGCGAAUCAUUUCAUUGCUUUUAAUGAAUGUAGGGUACCAUCUUACCCGAGUCCGUCAGCUAACCUCGUCAGCACAAGAUGGGUCAUUU